GACGAACGCUGGCGGCGUGCCUAAUACAUGCAAGUUGAGCGCUGACGGUUGGUACUUGUGCCAACUGGGUGAGCAGCGAACGGGUGAGUAACGCGUGGGGCAUCUGCCUUUGAGCGGGGGACAACAACUGGAAACGAAUGCUAAUACUGCAUAAUAACUCUAAACACAAGUUUCAAGUUUGAAAGAUGCCAUUGCAUCAUUAAAAGAUGAUCCCGCGAUGUAUUAGCUAGUUGGUUAGGUAAAGGCUCACCCAGGCGAUGAUACCUCGCCUACCUGGGAGGGUGGACGACCAAAAUGGGAAUGGGACAAGGCCCAAGCUCCCACGGGAGGGAGCAGUAGGGAAUCUUUGGCAAUGGACGAAAGUCUGACCGAGCAACGCCGGGGGAGUGAAGAAGGUUGUCGGAUCGUAAAACUCUGUUGGUAGGGAAGAACGUUGAGGAGAGUGGAAAGCUCAUCAAGUGACGGUAACUACCCAGAAAGGGACGGCUAACUACGUG
rnacentral:rRNA from 1 species